rnacentral:SRP_RNA from 1 species
UCGUGCUAGAUGGGGAGCUAGCGGUGCCCUGUAACCCGAAAUCCGCUCAUGCGGGGUUGAAAAUCCUCUUGGAGAUCCUUUGAUGCGAGAUGACCUUUUGCUGCUUCUGGAGCGGAGAUGGACUUUACGUGAUGGACGCUUACGAACCCCGUCAGGUCCGGGAGGAAGCAGCGGUAAGUAAGAAAGUUCGUGUCGUGACAGGAUCUAUCUUUUUCCUCCGGGCAGUAUUGGCUUUUCGGUCAUGGUUCGAAUAAGGAUGCACGG